GCUGUGGGGGACCGGUUGGGGAGCCAGAGAUGAUGGCUCUGGGGUCAGGCGCCCAGGGCAGCCUCUGGAAGCAGAGAAGGCUCAACCACUCUCCCCUGCUGCUCAUCCUGGAAGGGGUGUGCAAGGUCACAGAGUUAAAGGAAACGAGAGGAGUCGCAAACUAUGGGGCUGCUGGUUGCUGCAGGGAACACAAGCAAGCAGGAGAGGGUUAGCCACGGUGGAAGCCAUCCAUGGUGUGCCCUUAAUCUCGGGAAACCUCCUUCUCAGUGGAUCAAGCCCCGCCUCUCAGGCUUUGUGGUUUACAGCCCCGCACUGAGUCUUCGGUGGAGCACUGAGUCUUCGGCAGAGCACAUCCCAAAACGAAAUAAGCAGCAGGGAGUGCGCUGAGAAGAGCGGCCCCGCCGUGGGCUUCUCCCCACCUGCUGGACUGGGCUGGGCUGGUUGUUGACUUGGCCAUCCAGCCACUCUCCAGACAGAGUGGGACUUUCUAAGUAAAGUCACACUCACGGGUGCCGGGUGGACAUAAGUUUUGGGGUACACUCUUCAGCUCACUGCAGAGAUCACUGGGGAGGUCUCACAGUGAGGCCUGUGGAGAGAUUUUGGAGGGGGACUCCUGGGGCUGAGUGGGUUCUGGUCACAAAUGUGAUGGAAGGAGUGGCCCCCGCAGCGGGUCUCAGACUGGACGGUCAAUGUUUCUCAGUGCAGCUGCAGCUGUCUGGACCACACCUCCCGUGCCUGCAGCCCAACUUGGGUCUAUUCAUCCGACUUAUAUUCCAGGCCUGUGGGGGGCGAGGGUGGGGAGAAGCUGAUUCGGUACAGCUGACCCGGCUCCUUCCUGCAACUUCCCAAGCCCCUGUGGCCUGCGAAGCUGAGCUGAGAGGCUACCUAAAGCCAGGGAUGGACAGAAGGCCUGUCUUGAUGGGAAGGGUGGGAGGACGGAAGCAGUGGGCUUCUGUUCCCACAGUCCUGCAGAGCCGAAAUGUCCACCAGCCAGCCCUGCUCUCUGUGAGCUUCUGGCAUUGUUUGGAAACAUGAGGUGCCCCAUCUCUGGCCCCAGAUUCCAGCCUGGGAAUCCAGGAGGUGGCUGAGUCAGUUUCAGGAAAGCCUAGAUCAGGGCGCCCUGGGGCUACCAGGAGGACUCUGGAGAGAGAAGUGGAAGCAAGAGGCUGCAAGAGACAAACUGGACACUGCAGUGCCCAGCCCCACGUGGCAGAGGGAGUGGGGCCAGUGAGCACUCCCAGCUCCACAUGCAGAGGGAGCAGAGUGGGUGAGCAGCUUAUAGGGGCUUGCACACCUCGCUGAGUGUUAAGCAUAUGUGAAGGUACCGGGCUCACCUGGAGGAUUCAGGCUCAGCCAGAGGCCUCCUGGACAUGAGGUCACCAACUCCACCCCAGGAUACUUCCAUUUCCCUGCUGGGGCGGGGCAGGGGCAGCGUGGUGGACCUGUGUGUUAAUCGGAGCUUUCUGGGAGUGUGGAGGACCAGCAUUGAGUAUCACUGCCUGGGAUCUGAGCUUGGCCGUCAAAGACAUUAGCCACUAGCUGUGUCUGUCCAUUUGAAUUUAACGAAAUAAAAUGGAAAGUGCGG